rnacentral:tRNA from 1 species
UGGCAGGCUGUAGUCCUGCUAACAUAGGUUUAAAUCCUGUUUCUACC